rnacentral:tRNA from 1 species
AAAUAAGAAAUAAAUCAUUAUAUUUAAUUUCGACCUAAAAUUUAGCCUUAUAGGCUCUUAUUUA